UCAGAGCAGGUUGAUAAAAGGGGUAAAGAGCUAAAUUUUUUUAAUCUUUUUUCCUUUCAGUUCUUCCAAAAUUCAUUAGCCAAAUAGGUCCCUAGAGAGGAGGAGACGAGUGGGCAAAAACAUGAGGUUGACAGCUGCCAGCUGGGCAAUUGGCAUGUGGGUUGCUCCAGACUAGCCCCAUCCUGCGCUGCUCUGUGCCUGCUGGGGCUGUGAGCGGGGCGCAGUGGAAAGCUGGCAUCGGUGUAAGGGAAUAUGGCCAGAAACGUGUAAGACUAGGCUAGGUGAGCCGUGCAGAGCUGCUCCUUGGCUUUUGGCUGCAGCAGUAGCUGGGCUACUCUGGUUUCUGGCUGUUGGGAUUUUUAAGCAUUUUUAGCCCUUCCCCAUUGCUUGUUGUAGCAGUUGGUGUUUUAUGGUGUUUUGCUGUGUUUGCAUUGGCAGAUUUAGUUGUGCUCUUCCUUGAGUUUGCGUAGGAAUUGGGAUUUUGCUAUGAGUGAAACUUUGCUCUUAGUGUUUAUA